rnacentral:lncRNA from 1 species
GUGGAACUUGGGAUUCGAACGGCAGGCGGGAAGUGCUCUAGCAGGGGAGUCUGACCUUGUGAGGGAAUACCUGUGUCCCCCCUUUUUUCCCCUUUUUACCCAAUAAAACCCUGCCUUACUCACCCUUUAAAUCAUCUGCGAGCCUGAAUUUUCAUGGCCGUGGGACGGACAAGAACUUUAUCUUCAGCUGAACUAAGAAAAAGUCCUGCAACAUUUUUGGCGCGCAAUGUGGGGGCACCAGAAGCGGGCACCGUUGAGCUGUUGCAACUGUUCUGCUGGAGCCUUAUGUAUGUGGUUGAAACCACCUGUACUACUGGAAUGAAAGCACCUUUACAGAAGAGGCAAUGCAAGUUGUAUUCAUCACAUGUGUAGAAUGAAUUAAGAUUUAUGCCAGUUGCAAAGAAGAAUAUUGGCUCACUAUUUUUCCUCUGGGCAUGUGGAAAUGUAAAUCAGUCCAUGUUACUCACCUCGGAGAAGCAGAAGUACGAUUUACUAUUGUUGCUUGCUUACUUACUCUUAUCAAUUUCUAUGAGAGGGUUUGGAGAAAAAUAACUUCCCACAGUGACAUUGCUGAAGUGUCUAUGGGGCUCUGUUUCCAUCACUGCCAAUAAAGACAGUAGGCACUUUAAAAGCAAACAUUUCUCAUUCUCUAGUUGCCUUGGAAAUGAUGGCCGUGACUAUCUGAAGACUGAAGUGAUUGCACCAAGAAGUCAUAAUAGGCAGAUUUCCCUCAAUCAGUGCACCGCCUUCCAU